GAUGUCGCACUGCAACUUUGGGGCAGUUUUUGAGACCUGUGCCCCAUCUCACCUGUGCUUGGUAGGCAAGGGUGACAAUCUUCUAACCGCUGAUUUAAAGGGAAAAUACCUGAGCUGGUUUUCAUGCACCUUGCAAAUGGCUGCCCGCACCUCCCCGGUUCCUUUUCAUUCUCCAUCUUUUUGAAGCCAAGGAUAUUAAUAACAUCAAUACACUAGGACCUGGGGAAGCCUUUGCAUAGCACUCUGGCCUAUCAGGAGUCACAGUGGGACUUCAGAUAUCUGCUAGUGCAACCUGAGUAGUGAAUGCAGGCGAUGAGGGACAAUCCUCAAUUUACGCAUUGCAGUACUUGGAGGAAAAUCCUCAAUUUACGCAUUGCAGUACUUGGAGGAAAUGGAUCCGCCAGUGGCGGAUCCAGGGGGGGGGCAACGAGGCAAUUGCCCCCCCCCGAGAAUACACACGGUCUCCCUCUCCCCUGCCAUGUGCAAUGUGCCUGCGGACCGGAGGGGAGAUCACAGAUCUCCCUCCCCAGUCCGCAGGCACUGUGCUGGCGGCUGGUGGGGGAGGGAGGGAGUGAGAGAGAGGACCCGGAAGCUCAGGCUGCAGCUCCUCCGGGUCCUCCUCUCGCGAGAUUUGGAGCGUUGCCGCGGUUACCACGGCAACGCUCCAAAUCUCACGAGAGUGAACUCUAGUCCGGGAGCGUGGGUUAGAGUUCACUCUCCCCACUGGAACCACCAAUGAAUCCCCCACCGGACCACCAGGGAAAUGUCCC